UUAAAUGUUUUAAUCCUUAUUUUGAUGAUUAAUAAACAAUUGGUGUGCUACUAAUUAUCUUCAAAGGUGUUUGUGUUGAGCUUGUAGGUCCCUUACCAACAAGAAUAAAAUUGCUUCAAUCUCAAAAGAGAAAAGUGCCUAUUUUGGAAGCAUACCACAAGAAAGGGAUAAGAAAGUAUUUUUAUUUAUACUUUAUUUAAUUCUAUUUAUUGUGAAUUUUAAUUAAUUAAUUGUGAUGGCUCAAGGUUUCUUUC
rnacentral:lncRNA from 1 species